rnacentral:rRNA from 1 species
CCUACGGGUGGCAGCAGUGAGGAAUAUUGGUCAAUGGGCGCGAGUCUGAACCAGCCAAGUAGCGUGAAGGAUGACUGCCCUACGGGUUGUAAACUUCUUUUAUAAAGGAAUAAAGUGAGGCACGUGUGCCUGUUUGUAUGUACUUUAUGAAUAAGGAUCGGCUAACUCCGUGCCAGCAGCCGCGGUAAUACGGAGGAUUCGAGCGUUAUCCGGAUUUAUUGGGUUUAAAGGGAGCGUAGGUGGAUUGUUAAGUCAGUUGUGAAAGUUUGCGGCUCAACCGUAAAAUUGCAGUUGAAACUGGCUGUCUUGAGAUGUCGAGAGGUAUGCGGAAUGCGCAGUGUAGCGGUGAAAUGCUUAGAGAUUGCGCAGAACUCCGAUUGCGAAGGCAGCAUACCGGCGGCGAUCUGACGCUGAGGCACGAAAGCGUGGGUAUCGAACAGGAUUAGAUACCCCUGUAGUC